rnacentral:tRNA from 1 species
CAAGAUAGUAGUUUAAUAAAAUAAAAUAUUGGCAUUGGAAGCCAAAGAUUAGGUGGAGUAGUCCUACUUCUUGA